GUCCGCCACUCCUUAAAAUCUUGUACGCCUGUGGGCAAAAUCUCCUUAAAAUCUUAAAAUCUCGAAAAAUCAUCUUAAAAUCUUAAAAUCUCGCGAAAUCUCCUUAAAAUCUUAAAAUCUCGCAAAAUCUCCUUAAAAUCUUAAAAUCUCUCAAAAUCUCUCCCUAAAAUCCGUAAUCUAUGUUUCCAUCUCCGUAAAUCUUGCUACGUUACAGCAUGCAGCUGCAGAGUGUUGCAAUGGUCUCGAGAGCCCACUGAAUAGUCUGUCAUUGCUGUUUCCUCUACUGCAACUGCACUGAGUUCACUGUUGCACAGCUAUAGGUUGUCUUUAUCACUGGAUCCUCCUCCUAAAAGUGGGCUGCGCAUGAAGCUAAAGAAGCUUAUAGCAACUAAACAGGAGCAAACACCGCAGUCACUACCUGACAUAUAUACACAAGGAAUUGCUGGUGAUGAGUCUGCGAUGAGUGACCAGAUAAGUGCAAGCUUCAGCAUGGUUACCGACUACGCAUACGACUGGCAUAGUGAUGAAAGUUUGGUCAUGGACCACAGUGACACCCUUACUGCUGGACUUGAUCUGUCGGCAACUGAUAGUGUGACACCACACGACGAUGGUGAUGGUGAUGUUGUGCAGAAAUUAGUAGCUCGUGAGCCGGCAAUUAUUAAAACGAGUUGCAGUCCACUUCCAAACCCUUGUCCUGUCCCAGAAGUGUUCAGUCUAGUAAGAGGGUAAUGCUGGCCCUGAGUAGCAACAAGCUUCAGGGGAAUACGAAACUGUCAUUGAUUCGGGAGGCGAGUCAGUUCUUCUACGGUUUAUGCCCCAGACCAACUGCAGCAGAAUAUGACAUCAUGGCCAAGACUCUAAGUGGCAAGUACCCGAAUCUCCGCAACAAAAUACUCGUAAACGGAUGUGACAAUUACUCUCUUCGACAGCAGUUGAGUAUGGCAUAUCGGAACAAACGAAGGACUUCGACACCAAUUCCGAAGAGUAGCAGGUCAACGUUAGUUGUAUUAUCUGCAGCAAAACCAGCAGCUAAGGUGGUCAACGGUGAUCCUCCAGUUGUUAGAGAUGAAGCUGCCUACGCCAGAUUUUCGAUUCAGUCCUGAGCACCACAAACUAGCAAUGGCUCAAGAAUUUGUUCUGACCAAAGAAUGUGAAUGUUUUAUAAACAGUUCGACAGUAACCAUCGACACAAGCACAAAUUCUGAUAUUACUAUCAUUUCAGACUCAAGUGAUUCAUCCGAGUCAACUAUCUGGAAGAAAAUUGAUCAUUUUCAUCUCUACCACCAAGACCACAGUAUUCUGCUAAGCCGUAAUGCCUGGUUGAACGACAAUCAUGUAAAUUGUGCCCAAUACUUGCUAAAAAAGCAAUUCACUCAUCUGUAUGGCCUACGGUGCUCUGUGUUACAACAGUCGCAAUAUAUCAGUCCUCUCUCACAGGAGUCUCUACAAAUUUUGCACGUUUCUAGCAACCAUUGGAUAGCUCUGUCUACACUUCAGUGCAGUACCACAAAUUUGAUUCCCACUGCAUGUCUAUACGACUCGUUGUAUAGGGGAAUAAGCAUGGACACUCAAACACUUUUGGCCAAGUUUCUAGCAAAUGGAACAAGAGACUCAGAGCAACAACUUUCCGUCGCUGUAGCAAAUGUGGCACAACAAUCAGGCGCUUCAGACUGUGGAUUGUUUGCUAUCGCUUUCGUUACGCAUUUAGCACAUAGCCUAAACCCCUGCUACUGCAAUUUCAAACAAAAUGCAAUGAGAGAGCAUUUCUUGAAAUGCAUUGACCAAGCAACCAUGACACCCUUUCCGACUAACUCACAAAGAACAGCCAGAUUAGCGAUAACAAAGGAAAUAGUAGAGAUUCAAUUGUAUUGCUACUGUAGACUGCCUGAUAAUGGCUCAAAAAUGGUUGAGUGUGAGAGCAGCGGGUGUAAACUGGGAGGCUGGUUUCACCUCAAGUGUGUCAAUGCUUUCGAAGUGAAGAAAAACAAUAAAUGGAUCUGUAACAAUUGUAGAGGAGUAUAAUUUUUAUGUACAUUUACAAUUCAUAA